GAUGAACGCUGGCGGCGUGCCUAAUACAUGCAAGUCGAGCGAAUGGAUUGAGAGCUUGCUCUUAUGAAGUUAUCGGCGGACGGGUGAGUAACACGUGGUUAACCUGCCCCUAAGACUGGGAUAACUCCGGGAAACCGGGGCUAAUACCGGAUAACAUGUGGAACCGCAUGGUUCGAAAUUGAAAGGCGGCCUCGGCUGUCACUUAUGGAUGGACCCGCGUCGCAUUAGCUAGUUGGUGAGGUAACGGGUCACCAAGGCAACGAUGCGUAGCAGACCUGAGAGGGUGAUCGGCCACACUGGGACUGAGACACGGCCCAGACUCCUACGGGAGGCAGCAGUAGGGAAUCUUCCGCAAUGGACGAAAGUCUGACGGAGCAACGCCGCGUGAGUGAUGUAGGCUUUCGGGUCGUAAAACUCUGUUGUUAGGGAAGAACAAGUGCUAGUUGAAUAAGCUGGCACCUUGACGGUACCUAACCAGAAAGCCACGGCUAACUACGUGCCAGCCGCCGCGGUAA
rnacentral:rRNA from 1 species